UGGGGAAUAUUGGACAAUGGGCGAAAGCCUGAUCCAGCCAUGCCGCGUGUGUGAAGAAGGUCUUCGGAUUGUAAAGCACUUUAAGUUGGGAGGAAGGGUUGUAACCUAAUACGUUGCAAUCUUGACGUUACCGACAGAAUAAGCACCGGCUAACUCUGUGCCAGCAGCCGCGGUAAUACAGAGGGUGCAAGCGUUAAUCGGAAUUACUGGGCGUAA
rnacentral:rRNA from 1 species